rnacentral:lncRNA from 13 species
GGAAAAAAGAAAUAAGAAAGGAAAGCAGCCGAGGUUGUAAAUUCUUUCUAACAUAGAAAAUCAUUCUUUGCCUUUUAGGAAAAGGGUUUGUUGUUUCAGCCACUCAGGCCUAUUUCCUCGACCCUUUUGUCCUUGCACAUCUUGGGGGUUAACUUCUGUUUGGGUUCUGUGAGGCUGCGCAAAUUAAGAGGGGGAAAUGUCCCAAACACAUAGAAUCCUCUCUCUCUAAAGAAUGGGACACCUCCUGAAGGAGUCCUGUCAGGUGUCAAGACUAUCAAAUGGAGAAAGAGAUGGGACUCAACUCCGAAGGCAAGGAAGAGAGCCGGGGAUUUACAGCUGAUGAGCAGAUGAGCGGUCAGUGGAUGGAAAAGUACUAAGAGAAUCGUUGCUAUGCUUACUUAAUAGGAUUCUGGCUGAAGCCAGGCCAGGGUGAUCAGAUGCCAAAGAUGAAAAAGCCAAGACAGGCCGGCACAGUGGCUCCUGCCUGUAAUACCAGAGCUUUGGGGGGCCAAGGCAGGCAGAGAUCACUUGAGCCCAGGAGUUCGAGACCAGCCUGGGCAACAUGGCAAAAUCCCAUCUCUACAAAAAAUAGCUACUCAGGAGGCUAA